AGUGAACGCUGGCGGCGUGCUUAACACAUGCAAGUCGAACGAGAACGGAUUAUAGCUUGCUAUAAUUGUCAGCUAAGUGGCGCACGGGUGAGUAAUGUAUAGGUAAUAUGCCUCUUACUAAGGGAUAACAAAUGGAAACGUUUGCUAAUACCUUAUACUCCUUAUUAACCUAAGUUAACAAGGGAAAGAUUUAUUGGUAAGAGAUUAGCCUGUAUUGUAUCAGUUAGUUGGUGGGGUAAUGGCUUACCAAGACUAUGACACAUAACUGGUUUGAGAGGAUGAUCAGUCACACUGGAACUGAGACACGGUCCAGACUCCUACGGGAGGCGGCAGUGGGGAAUAUUGCACAAUGGACGAAAGUCUGAUGCAGCAACGCCGCGUGGAGGAUGACACAUUUCGGUGCGUAAACUCCUUUUAUAUGAGAAGAUAAUGACGGUAUUAUAUGAAUAAGCACCGGCUAACUCCGUGCCAGCAGCCGCCGUAA
rnacentral:rRNA from 1 species